UAGCUAGUUGGUGAGGUAAAGGCUUACCAAGGCGACGAUCUGUAGCGGGUCUGAGAGGAUGAUCCGCCACACUGGAACUGAGACACGGUCCAGACUCCUACGGGAGGCAGCAGUGGGGAAUUUUGGACAAUGGGGGCAACCCUGAUCCAGCCAUGCCGCGUGAGUGAAGAAGGCCUUCGGGUUGUAAAGCUCUUUCGGCCGGGAAGAAAUCGCAUGGGCCAAUACCCUGUGUGGAUGACGGUACCGGAAUAAGAAGCACCGGCUAACUACGUGCCAGCAGCCGCGGUAAUACGUAGGGUGCGAGCGUUAAUCGGGAUUACUGGGCGUAAAGCGUGCGCAGGCGGUUUUGUAAGACAGGCGUGAAAUCCCCGGGCUUAACCUGGGAACUGCGUUUGUGACUGCAAGGCUAGAGUACGGCAGAGGGGGGUGGAAUUCCACGUGUAGCAGUGGAAUGCGUAGAGAUGUGGAGGAACACCAAUGGCGAAGGCAGCCCCCUGGGUCGAUACUGACGCUCAUGCACGAAAGCGUGGGUAGCAAACAGGAUUAGAUACCCUGGUAGUCCACGCCCUAAACUAUGUCAACUAGGUGUUGGGUGGGUAAAACCAUUUAGUACCGUAGCUAACGCGUGAAGUUGACCGCCUGGGGAGUACGGCCGCAAGGUUAAAACUCAAAGGAAUUGACGGGGACCCGCACAAGCGGUGGAUGAUGUGGAUUAAUUCGAUGCAACGCGAAAAACCUUACCUACCCUUGACAUGCCAGGAACUUGCCAGAGAUGGCUUGGUGCCCGAAAGGGAGCCUGGACACAGGUGCUGCAUGGCUGUCGUCAGCUCGUGUCGUGAGAUGUUGGGUUAAGUCCCGCAACGAGCGCAACCCUUGUCGUUAAUUGCCAUCAUUUAGUUGGGCACUUUAACGAGACUGCCGGUGACAAACCGGAGGAAGGUGGGGAUGACGUCAAGUCCUCAUGGCCCUUAUGGGUAGGGCUUCACACGUCAUACAAUGGUCGGUACAAAGGGUUGCCAAGCCGCGAGGCGGAGCCAAUCCCAGAAAGCCGAUCGUAGUCCGGAUUGCAGGCUGCAACUCGCCUGCAUGAAGUCGGAAUCGCUAGUAAUCGUGGAUCAGCAUGUCACGGUGAAUACGUUCCCGGGUCUUGUACACACCGCCCGUCACACCAUGGGAGCGGGUUCCGCCAGAAGUAGGUAGCCUAACCGCAAGGGGGGCGCUUACCACGGCGGGGUUCGUGACUGGGGUGAAGUCGAAACAAGGUAGCCGUAGGGGAACCUGCGGCUG
rnacentral:rRNA from 1 species